rnacentral:tRNA from 1 species
GUCGAUCGUCUAGAGGCCUAGGACAUCGCCCUUUCACGGCGGUAACGGGGGUUCGAAUCCCCCUGGGGACGCCA